GAAGGAGUGGAUGCCGAUUUGCCAUAUCCUUCAUACUGAUAUUAAUUAUUUUAUUACAUGUUUUCUUGUUUGACUAUUAAUCAAGUUAUAGCAAGAGUGAAAUGUGUAACCUUAUGUGUGCUGUAUUUCUUUUCCUCAAGAUUAAUGUCCACAUAUUAUGUGUGUGUAUCCAACCGUAAUGAUAAGACACUCGCCAGUGCUAGAAAGCCUUGAAUUUUAGAUAAGUUCUCUGUGUACGUGUGUUAGUAUCUGUCUGUACAGGGAGAAGCUCAGACAGUCCCAGGACAAACGAUCAACUGCCAGUGUCCAGCAUAUCAGAUAUACGUCUUUGGAGAGUUUUAUCUAGGUUUUGGAACCAAUCAGAAUUUUGUUGACUCAUGUAUUGACGCAAUUAGUAUCCUCUGUCAGGAUAUAACUGUGGUUGAUUUUGUAUUGUACUGGGGGCGGCCUGCGAACUCCUUCGAGAGUGUUGAAGCUGACUUCUGCUGAUGAAAUUGCAAACUAUUUUCUUCAAUUAAUGGUGGAGGAUCGGCGGGCAAUAGUUCUUUGUUGACAUCCCUGAUCAAUCAUCAAACCAAGGUAGGAAAGAUUUUAGAUUUAAUAUUAUUGGUUAGGGACUGUCUGUAAGUGGAGGGGGUCGAGAGAAGGAGGAACGAUAGACUCACUCAGACGUGAGGGGGUAGACACCAGCUCCAGGGUGGAGUAAGGUAAAUUGGUGUCACAAUAUACCUGUAAAUAAGUAACCUUGUGAGUAUAAGGGGUACAAGUACACAUCGGUAGGUCUUGAUAUAAGAUAUUUAGAGAUGUGUACAGUUACAGAGGGAACAGGUGCACACCUAUAGGUCUUAGAGAGAGACGUAAAAAUUUGUUUCUAGGUGUGCACAGUCCAGGGGGGGACAAAAACGCAUUCUUAACAGGCAUGUGAACCCGUAAAGGGCAGUGCUGGGUCAAGCACCGAGGGACAAAGGACACAUAAGGGCGUAAAUAGGCAGUGCUGGGUCAAGCACAGAGAGCCAAAAAGCACGAGAGGCCAUAAAGGGCAGUGCAUUUACGGCCGGGUAAGCCAAAGUAGGGGUAUGGGAAAUCCCGAGAAGAAUGUAAGACGCUAGACGGGGGUUCUAGUCGUAUCUCGCUCUUCCAACUCUCGAUCACCCACCAUUACAGACAGGGGCGCCCCGAGCUUAGAAAUAGGCCAGGUCAGUGGUUAGGGAACAGAGUAUCCAAAAUUAGUGUUUAAAAAUAAAUAUUGAUAAUUCAUAUGUGCACCUAUAAAAAUAUAGGGAUAUAUGCAAAGGGAAAGUAUUGAUUGAUCUGGGAUGCCUCAGGAACAACCCCAAAAGAGCUAAAAUGUAGUUUUCAUGACCCUGAUUGGAUUGGACCAGUAUAUGGAAAUUCUGGAAUAUACUUUGCAAUUUCAUCACGCAGAAGUCAAGUGCUGUUGGUAAGAUCGCCGCCUCAAUAUGUUUUUGGUUUAUGAUAGAAAUAUGACUGACAAAUUAGGUAACCUGGUCAGCCCUGAUAGAAAUAAUGAAACAAGAGAGCAAAUGCUGUAAACAGUUUGGCUCUGAAGCUCUGACUUUAAAAAAAAAUAUAUAUAUUCUCUGAAUUCAUUUAAAGAAUGAUCAGUCUGAGCUUUAAUUCUGAUUGUAAUGUUAAAACAAAAACUUGAUUGGCUUUAAACUUAGAAAGAACCUGAGAAAUAAACAUUUAUAAAUGUAUGUGCCGAUUUAUUAAAAAUAAUCCCAUAAGUAACUGAGUGAUGAUUUAAUCUGAUUCUCUGUGCAUAGAAGGUUUAAAUGACAAAGAAUGAUAUCAUAAGACCUGUUCCAGUUCCUAUAUAAUUGUUGAAAGUCCUGACAAGGAAUACUGAACAGAAUUCUGGGUUAGUGAAAAAAAAAAACUGUAGGCACACAAAUUGGCAGUGGCAUUUUGGAAAAACUUAGAAGCUUAUGUUUUGUUAAAAAAAAGAUAAAAUUACUUUGACUACAAUGAAGCCGUUGUUUUAUCUCAUGCUGGCCCCCACCAUGACUCUGGCUUAAGCAGUAAAAAUACCAGAGACAUGUUCUGAGUAAAAAAAAAAAAAUGUAAUUUCUAUAUUUACUAAUGUUUGGCCAAAAGAGUAAUUUUAUUGUUGGAUUGCAAAAUUGUAGUCACGCAGCAUCAUAAAAAAAGAAAAAAGAAGAGAAAAGAAAAUUAUUUUUUGUUUAUGAGAUGAUAAAGUUGUAAACAAGUAGCAUAAACGGGGGUUUCAAAGUAACUUUGAAGACAGCAUGCUAGCAAGACCCAAAGUAAUAUACCUGGGUCAGAUAACCUCUGACAGAUUUAAAACCAAUGUUGAAAUUCAGAAGCCAUGGCCAGAAUUAAGUGAAUGGAUAAAUACAAGUUGAUGUAAAAGUAAUGACAAUGACUGCAAAGAACUUUGAGAAACAUUUGAGUUGCGAAAAUAAAGUAAAAAUACAAAUAUAAAGAUGUUUAUUUUUAAAAUGCAUAUAAUUUCUGACAAGUUUUAAACUGGGCUAGAGUAAAAUGAUAGUACGAUGAAAUUAUGUUAAAAAUGAAUGAAAAUGCAUUGUUACGAGUCCUGAAUCCCUCAGAGUUCUCUCUCUCUCUCAUUCAAAGUAAGCUAAAAUGCCGUUAUCUGAGCUUGUGUUUAAGUGAUAAGAUAUUUAUAGUACAGCACAGUGUUUCAGUCAAAUCAUAGGCAGAGAUGCUAAAGGACAUGAUAAAAAGAGUUCAGAUUUAAUGCAUUAAGAGGGCAAUUGGUAGUUAAAUGUUCAACUGCCCAAUGCAUGUAAGAAAUAAGAGAUUAUAAAAAUAAUGAAUAACAGUUUAGGAGCAAUUGUUGAAGAGACAUGAGGGCUUUAAAAUCAUAAUACAGACCCUGAGCUAUAGAUGUAAUAAUUUUGAAUAGUUAAACAGUUGUAUUGCUAUUUGUUCUAUGACCAGUAACUUAUCUGUCUUAUUUUUAGUCUCCACCAUCAUACAGGGCCUGAUGGCUGCAGCUACAGAAGCAACAGAAAAUUACAAUGAAUGGAUGGGUGUGAAAAAUAAAUUCACUGAGUAAUCUCAGCAUGAUAGUUUGGAGGUAUCCAAUUGAGUUUAGCGAUUAAAUAUUAGUUUGAUUAACCUUUUUCAAUGUUUUAACACUAGUAGGUGCUGUCAAUGGCUCUCAUGGUUCUUGAGUGCACCUUUCCUAAGCUGCAGGAAAUACUGGAUUCUGGAAGAAGACUGUCGAGGAUGUUGCAACGGGAAAAAGUGGUUACCAGUGUGCAUGAGGUGAUUUCUCAAUGACGGGUAAGAUCCUCUUCUGGCCAAUAGGGGACAACCUAAGGCAGGGGGUCACCGCCACUGGGCACCUGCCCUGAAGGGAGGUGUUAUAUGUGAGAUGGUAGUGGAGUUGAGCGGAUGCUUGAUAGGCCUAGAGCAUCAUUAAGAGGGGAACUGUAUGAAGUACAGCAAUCUGCCUCAAAAUGUGAGCUCCUCCAGACCUGAUCACCAGCAACCGCAUUCCUUGACUGAUUGUUGUGACAAGCGUCCACAACUUGAUGCAACUAUGCCAGUGGAUCACACCCUGAGGACAAGGAGCUUAUUUAUAAAAAGUUAAUGGCAAUGGGCUUUCAAGAACCAUCUGAGACCAUGUGAUGACAGCCAUUAUUUUGAGACAAAAAUUUCUUAUGAGGCUAAAAUGAUAUUGAACUAAUAUGUCUAUAUCAUAGUCUUUACUCAUGCAGGUCAUUAGGCAUGACACAAGAUGAUAACAAGAUAUGGUGGUGGCUAAAAAUGAAGACUGCUUCUGCUUAAUCAAGAGAUGGUUUAGAUAACAAAGGUUAAGGGAAUUAAG